GAUGAACGCUAGCGGCAGGCUUAAUACAUGCAAGUCGAGGGGCAACAGGGGUAGCAAUACCUGCUGGCGACCGGCAAACGGGUGCGGAACACGUACAGAACCUUCCUUUAAGCGGGGGAGUAGCCCACUAGAAAUAGUGGAUUAAUACCCACUAGUAAUACUGGCUGGCAUCAGCUGGUAUUUAAAGUAAUUUAUUCACUUAAAGAAUGGCUGUGCGGCUGAUUAGGUAGUUGGUGCGGGUAACGGGCCCACCAAGCCAGCGAUCAGUAACUGGUGUGAGAGCACGACCAGUCACACGGG
rnacentral:rRNA from 1 species